rnacentral:rRNA from 1 species
GUCUCAGUUCGGACUGUAGGCUGCAACUCGCCUACACGAAGUUGGAAUUGCUAGUAAUCGUGGAUCAGCAUGCCACGGUGAAUACGUUCCCGGGUCUUGUACACACCGCCCGCCACACCAUGGGAGCUGGUAACACCCGAAGUCAGUAGUCUAACCGCAAGGAGGACGCUGCCGAAGGUGGGAUUAGCGACUGGGGUGAAGUCGUAACAAGGUACC